GACGAACGCUGGCGGCGUGCUUAACACAUGCAAGUCGAACGGAAAGGCCCUGCUUUUGUGGGGUGCUCGAGUGGCGAACGGGUGAGUAACACGUGAGUAACCUGCCCUUGACUUUGGGAUAACUUCAGGAAACUGGGGCUAAUACCGGAUAGGAGCUCCUGCUGCAUGGUGGGGGUUGGAAAGUUUCGGCGGUUGGGGAUGGACUCGCGGCUUAUCAGCUUGUUGGUGGGGUAGUGGCUUACCAAGGCUUUGACGGGUAGCCGGCCUGAGAGGGUGACCGGCCACAUUGGGACUGAGAUACGGCCCAGACUCCUACGGGAGGCAGCAGUGGGGAAUAUUGCACAAUGGGCGGAAGCCUGAUGCAGCAACGCCGCGUGCGGGAUGACGGCCUUCGGGUUGUAAACCGCUUUCGCCUGUGACGAAGCGUGAGUGACGGUAAUGGGUAAAGAAGCACCGGCUAAUACGUG
rnacentral:rRNA from 1 species